CCUACGGGAGGCAGCAGUGAGGAAUAUUGGUCAAUGGACGAGAGUCUGAACCAGCCAAGUAGCGUGAAGGCUGACUGCCCUAUGGGUUGUAAACUUCUUUUAUAUGGGAAUAAAACGUUCCACGUGUGGGAUUUUGUAUGUACCAUAUGAAUAAGGAUCGGCUAACUCCGUUCCCGCAGCCGCGGUAAUACGGUGGAUCCGAGCGUUAUCCGGAGUUAGUGGGUUUAAAGGGAGCGUAGGUGGAUUGUUAAGUCAGUUGUGAAAGUGUGCGGCUCAACCGUAAAAUUGCAGUUGAAACUGGCAGGCUUGAGUACAGUAGAGGUGGGCGGAAUUCGAUGUGUAGCGGUGAAAUGCUUAGAUAUCACGAAGAACUCCGAUUGCGAAGGCAGUUCACUGGACUGCAACUGACACUGAGGCUCGAAAGUGUGGGUAUCAAACAGGAUUAGAUACCCGAGUAGUC
rnacentral:rRNA from 1 species